CAGAGUUUCUCUGUGGUCAAACCACCCUGCCAGCCUCCCUGCUGCAGCCGGCAGCACGUCACUCCAUGCGGGAGGGGAGCCCCACCUAAGGUGAGGCACCUGCUCCCCCUUUGCCUCCUGCCAUGAGUGGAAGCUUCCCAAGUCCUCACCAGAUGCAAAUGUUGGUGCCAUGCUUCCUGUACAGCCUGCAGAACUGUGAGCCAAAGAAACCGCUUUUCUUUAUAAAUUACCCAGUUUCAGGGUACCGAGUGAGACCCAGCUGACCUGGAAAAUGACAGGGACACUUUUUAUCCUUCCAACUUAACCUUUCCGUCCUGACUUAACCUUUCCCUCUUUGACACAAAUGAAGAAAUUAGGGCUCUUGACUGCUACUGAUUUAAGGGGAUUACAGAGGCACUGCCAGCGAGCAUGAGCACAAGAGUUUAGCGCCUCUCGGCAGCUGAGAGAGGAUGCUGCAUACUUGGGGCCUGGGACCUCCGAGAAGACCUUCUUCAGCCGAAAGCACACCUUAUUCUUGUCCCAGUUGAAGGCUUCCCAACGGUCUUCAUGUGGCACUUGCUGUGUGCCAGGCCCCACUCUGGGCACUUGGUUUAUUUCUGAUGGGAUUUCCGGUCGCUUCCACUUUGUGGCUCUUUUGAAGAAUGCCGCUAGGAACAUUCACACGCAGGUUUUUGGUGUGGACGUUCUUGGCCAUAAAAUAUGGCUUUUGGAAAAAUAAAGCUGAGACUUGGAGUUCACGGUGGGGGCUCCCCCAUCUGUGAACAGAAGCAGAAGUUUGGAACUGCCUUCUUUACUGCUCGAGAGGGAAAACUUGAGUGAAAACCAGGAUGCUGGCGAAUGUUGAGUAGCUAAGCUGCACAGGAAAUACCACUUGAUGACCUGCG
rnacentral:lncRNA from 1 species